GAUGAACGCUAGCGGCCGGCUUAACACAUGCAAGUCGAGGGGUAUAGUUCUUCGGAGCUAGAGACCGGCGCACGGGUGCGUAACGCGUAUGCAAUCUACCUUUUGCAGAGGGAUAGCCCAGAGAAAUUUGGAUUAAUACCUCAUGGUAUGUGAGAAUGGCAUCAUUUUCACAUUAAAGUCACAACGGCAAAAGAUGAGCAUGCGUCCCAUUAGCUAGUUGGUAAGGUAGCGGCUUACCAAGGCAACGAUGGGUAGGGGUCCUGAGAGGGAGAUCCCCCACACUGGAACUGAGACACGGACCAGACUCCUACGGGAGGCAGCAGUGAGGAAUAUUGGACAAUGGUCGCAAGCCUUAUCCAGCCAUGCCGCGUGCAGGAUGACGGUCCUAUGGAUUGUAAACUGCUUUUGUACAGGAAGAAACACUGGUUCGUGAACCAGCUUGACGGUACUGUAAGAAUAAGGAUCGGCUAACUCCGUGCCAGCCGCCGCUGUAAGAC
rnacentral:rRNA from 1 species